rnacentral:snRNA from 14 species
CUACUUACCCAACAGGGGACAGACUGAGAUCAGUAACAGGGCCUUCACGGGCAAGGAUAUUCUUUGUAUUCCUGGUAUGAUGACUCCUGUGAUUUCCCUGAACGUGGAGAAGUUAAUUGCACAAUUUGUAGUGAAAGACUGCAUUUACACCUUUAAA